rnacentral:ncRNA from 1 species
CCCGGUUCGCCGGGACGAAAUGUGGUCGGGAUUUUCCGACUGAAUCGCAAG